GACGUAGGGCGCGAGCGUUGUCCGCAUUUAUUGGGCGUAAAGAGCUCGUAGGCGGCUUGUCGCGUCGGCUGUGAAAACCCGCGGCUCAACUGUGGGCGGGCAGCUGAUACGGGCAGGCUGGAGUUCGGUAGGGGAGACUGGAAUUCCUGGUGUAGCGGUGAAAUGCGCAGAUAUCAGGAGGAACACCGGUGGCGAAGGCGGGUCUCUGGACAGUUCCUGACACUGAGACACGAAGGCCAGGGGAGCAAACGGG
rnacentral:rRNA from 1 species